CGCAGCGUGACUUGACAAGGAAUCUAUGCUGGUCUGUUUAGGUUAAGGCAGGAGUUAACUUUUUUGUCUAGUUUUUUUCUCCCUAUCAUUACUCCACGGACAUCUCAGACUCCUAAUGUCCACAUUUUGUGUUCUCUGAUUUUGCCGUGCGUCUGUGAGAACAUUGUGCCAUCUCGUUUUCACCAAGUGGAUCUAAGAAAGUUGCACUCUGAUGGUGUUUAUUGAAGUACUGAAAACAGCAAUGCAAGUGUCAAUAAGGGUGGUCCUGUAGGAAGUUCAUCCUGGGUGCUAUGCAAGCUGGAACCACAGCUAGUGGUCUGUGAGCUGCAGACAUUUUAACUGACAUUCAAAUCAGUACAUGUAGUAUAUUGAUUUGACUGUAGUCCUGUCUCUCAUGGCCCACUGCCACACUCUCUUGCCUGGAUUUUCCUGGUAAAAAGGUGUCAGUUAUGCCGGUAAUUCCAAAUGAAAUCUAUCGAUCAGUUCAGGCUAUAAAACCAUGCUUGUUCGGUAUCAAUCUAAUAUGUGAUUACACUGAUCCAGUUUCUUGUUGAACUCUGAACUGAACUAACUAACUUAUAUUAGUUUGUUGUUGAAUUAACCUUAAUCAUUGUCCAAAAUCACUAUUGGGUUUGUAUUCUUAAAUAUCUGGAGCAUCCUACUAUGUCCCUCUUUUUAAAUCUACAAAGAACUUGUUAUUGCUAAGGUGUGUGCUUUCCAGAUGCUGCACAAACAGUUGGACCAGAUGGACUGGAAGAUUGAGAUAUUGUUUGGACAAGCAGCACAGAAUGACACUAGGAGCAUCAGCACUGCCUCCUUCAGCACCUUGGACCCCUACUCAGGGCGGUGUUCUUUUUAUUAGUGAUUUUACUGUUAAACUUCGAAAAGUUAUGGCCUUUUCAUGGUAAUGCUGUGGUCUCAUGUUUCCCAGGUGCCUGUGUUCUGGAUUUGGUUGUGCAGAUCCUCUUAGCGCCUGACAACAUCAUUUGCACUGAGGUCCUAAAUCAACACUACUGCGUGCUUUGGGACAGCGAAGAGGGACCCACAGCUGACUUCACUUUCCACAACUGCCACCAGGAAUGGUGUAAGGACACAAUAGAUAAC